rnacentral:rRNA from 1 species
AUGGCAUAAGCCAGCUUGACUGCGAGCGUGACGGCGCGAGCAGGUGCGAAAGCAGGUCAUAGUGAUCCGGUGGUUCUGAAUGGAAGGGCCAUCGCUCAACGGAUAAAAGGUACUCCGGGGAUAACAGGCUGAUACCGCCCAAGAGUUCAUAUCGACGGCGGUGUUUGGCACCUCGAUGUCGGCUCAUCACAUCCUGGGGCUGAAGUAGGUCCCAAGGGUAUGGCUGUUCGCCAUUUAAAGUGGUACGCGAGCUGGGUUUAGAACGUCGUGAGACAGUUCGGUCCCUAUCUGCCGUGGGCGCUGGAGAACUGAGGGGGGCUGCUCCUAGUACGAGAGGACCGGAGUGGACGCAUCACUGGUGUUCGGGUUGUCAUGCCAAUGGCACUGCCCGGUAGCUAAAUGCGGAAGAGAUAAGUGCUGAAAGCAUCUAAGCACGAAACUUGC